rnacentral:lncRNA from 1 species
CGAAAGCGUUGGAGAGGUGUUACCGGAACGGCGGCGACAAGGGUGUUCCCGAACUAGAGUGGGGCAUACAUAAUCUUGCUGCUAUGCUUCGAAGCUGUAGUCUGAAUCAACCUAAGUUUUAAACAGAAGGUGAACCUCUGAGAUAGAAAAUCAAGUAUAUUUUAAAAGAAGGGAUGUGGGAUCAAGGAGGACAGCCUUGGCAGCAGUGGCCCUUGAACCAGCAACAAUGGAUGCAGUCAUUCCAGCACCAACAGGAUCCAAGCCAGAUUGAUUGGGCUGCAUUGGCCCAAGCUUGGAUUGCCCAAAGAGAAGCUUCAGGACAGCAAAGCAUGGUAGAACAACCACCAGGAAUGAUGCCAAAUGGACAAGAUAUGUCUACAAUGGAAUCUGGUCCAAACAAUCAUGGGAAUUUCCAAGGGGAUUCAAACUUCAACAGAAUGUGGCAACCAGAAUGGGGAAUGCAUCAGCAACCCCCACACCCCCCUCCAGAUCAGCCAUGGAUGCCACCAACACCAGGCCCAAUGGACAUUGUUCCUCCUUCUGAAGACAGCAACAGUCAGGACAGUGGGGAAUUUGCCCCUGACAACAGGCAUAUAUUUAACCAGAACAAUCACAACUUUGGUGGACCACCCGAUAAUUUUGCAGUGGGGCCAGUGAACCAGUUUGACUAUCAGCAUGGGGCUGCUUUUGGUCCACCGCAAGGUGGAUUUCAUCCUCCUUAUUGGCAACCAGGACCUCCAGGACCUCCAGCACCUCCCCAGAAUCGAAGAGAAAGGCCAUCAUCAUUCAGGGAUCGUCAGCGUUCACCUAUUGCACUUCCUGUGAAGCAGGAGCCUCCACAAAUUGACGCAGUAAAACGCAGGACUCUUCCCGCUUGGAUUCGCGAAGGUCUUGAAAAAAUGGAACGUGAAAAGCAGAAGAAAUUGGAGAAAGAAAGAAUGGAACAACAACGUUCACAAUUGUCC